rnacentral:rRNA from 1 species
UACGGAGGGUGCGAGCGUUGUCCGGAAUCAUUGGGCGUAAAGGGCGCGUAGGUGGCCCGGUGAGUCUUUGGUGAAAGCGCGGGGCUCAACCCUGCGUCGGCCAGGGAUACUGCCGCGGCUCGAGCACUGUAGAGGCAGGCGGAAUUCCGGGUGUAGCGGGGGAAUGCGUAGAGAUCCGGAAGAACACCGGUGGCGAAGGCGGCCUGCUGGGCAGUGGCUGACGCUGAGGCGCGACAGCGUGGGGAGCAAACAGG